GUGAGUUGGCUAUCUGAGUUCUGAAGAGAGAGCCAAAAUAAAAUUUGGUCAAAAUUUGGGCUGACCCUACGGAAGACAGGACCAUCGACCCACCACAACUAGCGCCCGUUCACAAACAUGAAGCAUAUAUUAGGGACGGAAACUACUUCAUGUCGCUGCAACAGCAAUGCCAUUUAAGAGAGCUCGUCAAAGUCUGCUAUCAGAACUGAACCAAAUAACUAGCAACAGUUUGUAUCUCAAUGUGUAACGAACUUAUAUAUCAGUACAGAUAUUUCAACGACUACUACUACUCGACUACGAUUGCAUUCAUAAAUUUAAAUAAAGAUGAUAUCCUUUAAAAUUUAAAACUUUCGUGA